AGCAGCCGCGGUAAUUCCAGCUCCAAUAGCGUAUAUUAAAGUUGUUGCAGUUAAAAAGCUCGUAGUUGAAUUUCGGGGUCAGCAGGUUGGUCGUGCCAAUGGUAUGAACUGGCCUUGCUGAUUCCUCCCUCUUGAUGAGCCGUAAUGCCAUUAAUUUGGUGUUGCGGGGAAUCAGGACUGUUACUUUGAAAAAUUAGAGUGUUUAAAGCAGGCAAGCGCUUGAAUACAUUAGCAUGGAAUAAUGAAAUAGGACGUUCGAUCCUAUUUUGUUGGUUUCUAGGAUUGACGUAAUGAUUAAUAGGGAUAGUUGGGGGCAUUAGUAUUCAAUUGUCAGAGGUGAAAUUCUUGGAUUUAUUGAAGACUAACUACUGCGAAAGCAUUUGCCAAGGAUGUUUUCAUUAAUCAAGAACGAAAGUUAGGGGAUCGAAGACGAUCAGAUACCGUCGUAGUCUUAACCAUAAACUAUGCCGACUAGGGAUCGGAUGAUGUUUAAUUUUUAAUGACUCU
rnacentral:rRNA from 1 species